GUAUCAAUAAGCGGAGGAAAAGAAACCAACAGGGAUUGCCCUAGUAACGGCGAGUGAAGCGGCAACAGCUCAAAUUUGAAAUCUGGCGCAAGCCCGAGUUGUAAUUUGCAGAGGAAGAUUCUGGCGAGGUGCCUUCUGAGUCCACUGGAACGUGGCGCCACAGAGGGUGAGAGCCCCGUAUAGUUGGACACCAAGCCUGUGUGAAUCUCCUUCGACGAGUCGAGUAGUUUGGGAAUGCUGCUCUAAAUGGGAGGUAAAUUCCUUCUAAAGCUAAAUAUUGGCCCGAGACCGAUAGCGCACAAGUA
rnacentral:rRNA from 1 species